rnacentral:misc_RNA from 1 species
UGCGCGUCUGGAACGGCUGCAAGCACACAAUGGUGGCGUCACAAAUUGGUUAUUGCAAUAAAGUUUGUGGGUUAGCACAUCUCAGUCCGCUGAGAAGCGUGGUAUUUGUGUGCUGCUCAUGCAAUUAUUGAGAUUUAUGUCAACAAAAUUUAUUGAUAUGACCAUGUGCCACUGUCAAUAUCAAUUUAUAAAAAUGACAAUACGUCCCAGAAAAGAAAACGUAGACGAACCAGUCACAAGAAUCAGUAGCCAAAAUCAUUUCCCUACACACAUCCUCAUCAACAGGAAAACGAAAAAUUCCUGUAAUCAAACUUACUAUCAUAAAACUACGUAUGUACAAAUGGCCUUCACCAAGGAAGUUUCCAAGUCUUCCCUCAGCAUGCUGAAUUCAAGACAUUUUAUAUUGUUACAAAACUUCCCAUUAUCUUCCACAAGAAAUCAACUAAGAAACGUAAAAUUAAGUAAUGCUAUAUGUCAUGUCAGUGUUGCUUGUUAUCCUAAAUUUUGUUUUAUUGUUCAGGAACAGACUACUGAAGAGACCGAGAGAGGGUAAGGGAAAGUAUUGGCAUACUCAAAGGAAAGCGUGCCGCCAUUGACCAAGGGUUUGCCAUCGUUAACAAGGCAAUCAUUGUACAGAAGGCGCUUGAAGAUCUUUGGGUUGAUGAGGCGAGCAGAACUAAACCAGCCACAGUUAAGGUGAAUCCCAGAUAUUUCACAGCCGGUGACGCACACGUUCAUGAUCUCAACAGCGUAGGUUGGUAUGCCGCUUGGAAGAGGAGCUGUGGCUCCUUGGUUUAUCACAAUAUCGGCCUUCGUACACUUCUCACCCCUUAUUCUAUUAGGUUCCUCCAUUGCCAAUGAGCGCUUAAGAAGCUUCCGAUGUGAAGCAAAUAAUGUAUAUUUCCCUCCCUUGGAGACUGGCUGGCUCGAUCCCAUGGAUCUACCUUCACUGUAACCCACGUCUGUGGAAAAAAGAAGCAUGAAUAAUAGCACUACAGAAAACAGUAGAACCAAAACGACGGCGACCCUAGGCUUCGAAAAGGCUCUCAUCUUCGAGGAUGAAUCUCUACUUAUCAGUGUAGAGAGAGAAACCCAAGAACUUUUUGAUUCUCCCUAAAAGAGAAGAAUAACAAAAGUCAAAUAGAUCGAUAACUCAGUGGAAGCAACGAGUCCGACUCGGAGCACUAUACCGCCAUGGAUAUGAAGUUCAAGUGGAAACGAAGAGUGUCCCUCAAUCUCUCUCUCGGAUAUUGAAAUCUGCAUAAAAGAACAAGUUUGAAUCUAAAUAGCCGUGUUCAUCGUAUCACAUCAUCAGUUAAAAGGGGAAAAAAAAAAACUCAAAAACAACAAUCCGUCUGAUUAGAAUAUCAAGCGGUUCAGAUUUCACUGCAAAUGUACGUAUAAACCCCUAGGACUCACGAGCUAGACUUUAGCUUUAAAAUGACCUAGAAACGAAGGGAACUGAUACGAGCCUUAAACAACUUGUUUGGCUCAUAUAUUAUUGGAGUUUUUUUUUU